rnacentral:rRNA from 1 species
AUCCCAGGAGCUUGCUCCUGGGUGAGAGUGGCGAACGGGUGAGUAAUGCGUGACCGACCUGCCCCAUACACCGGAAUAGCUCCUGGAAACGGGUGGUAAUGCCGGAUGCUCCAGUUGGAUGCAUGUCCUUCUGGGAAAGAUUCUAUCGGUAUGGGAUGGGGUCGCGUCCUAUCAGCUUGAUGGCGGGGUAACGGCCCACCAUGGCUUCGACGGGUAGCCGGCCUGAGAGGGCGACCGGCCACAUUGGGACUGAGAUACGGCCCAGACUCCUACGGGAGGCAGCAGUGGGGAAUAUUGCACAAUGGGCGCAAGCCUGAUGCAGCGACGCCGCGUGCGGGAUGACGGCCUUCGGGUUGUAAACCGCUUUUGACUGGGAGCAAGCCCUUCGGGGUGAGUGUACCUUUCGAAUAAGCACCGGCUAACUACGUGCCAGCAGCCGCGGUAAUACGUAGGGUGCAAGCGUUAUCCGGAAUUAUUGGGCGUAAAGGGCUCGUAGGCGGUUCGUCGCGUCCGGUGUGAAAGUCCAUCGCUUAACGGUGGAUCCGCGCCGGGUACGGGCGGGCUUGAGUGCGGUAGGGGAGACUGGAAUUCCCGGUGUAACGGUGGAAUGUGUAGAUAUCGGGAAGAACACCAAUGGCGAAGGCAGGUCUCUGGGCCGUCACUGACGCUGANGAGCGAAAGCGUGNGGAGCGAACAGGAUUAGAUACCCUGGUAGUCCACGCCGUAAACGGUGGAUGCUGGAUGUGGGGANCAUUCCACGGUCUCCGUGUCGGANCCNACGCGUUAAGCAUCCCGCCUGGGGAGUACGGCCGCAAGGCUAAAACUCNAAGAAAUUGACGGGGGCCCGCACAAGCGGCGGA